CUGUCUGGAUGAUAAAUGUGACUAGUGCUGAUUUGAUCUUAUCUUGAGUGUGUUUAGGGAUUGUCGUGUUGAGGCCCAGGAAAGUUGGUAGUGUUGGGGGAAUGUUAUUUGAGGAAAGAAUUGACAUAAGGUUUUUGCGUGGUUCGUUGUAGUAAUGGCAUUGAAGGAGGGCGUGUUGUGUAUUUUCGUGUUCGAGGCAGCCUUGUGGACAAAAUGGUGAGGAGUCCUUAUCCCAUUUGGCUAAGAAGUAAUUCAGUCUGUUGUGGCCACUUCGCAGGCGAAACAAGGAUGUUUGAACGUUUCUUCUUGAGUGUUGAUGCCAUGAGAGUGGACCCAAAGAAUCACGGCAGUAUGUUGAGAAUUUCAGGACUAGUGAGUUCAUUCGCUAAUGUGUUGCCUUCUAGGGCAGUUGUUCUUGACUUGGCUAAAUUAUCAGCAAUACAGUUGCCUUGGAUGCUACAAUGGCUUGGAAUCCAGUAAAGGGGCUGGCGUCCCAUCAAUUGCUGAUAGCUUGAAUUGAAGAUUUAGAGUCUGAGAAUAUUGUGAUUUCAUCAAAGUUGUCGUGUGAGUAG